rnacentral:rRNA from 1 species
UGUAAGCGUAUACCAAAGUUGUUGCAGUUAAAACGCUCGUAGUCGGAAUUUGGCAGUUCCGGAUGUGUGCACGUCGUGUGCGCACUUCGCGGGGAUUGCUUUUGUGGUCUUGCGUAGGAUGAGGCACUUUUAUUAGUGAACGUCCUCACGCAACCACUUUUUACUGUGAGAAAAUCAGAGUGCUCAAAGCAGGCAUUUGCCGUGAAUGUAUUAGCAUGGAAUAAUAGAAUAGGACUUGGUUCUAUUUUGUUGGUUUGUUGGGACUGAGUAAUGAUUAAGAGGGACAGUUGGGAGCAUUUGUAUUUCGGUGCUAGAGGUGAAAUUCUUAGAUUACCGAAAGACAAACUGCUGCGAAAGCGUCUGCCAAGGAUGUUUUCAUUGA